rnacentral:tRNA from 1 species
GAGGGAAUAGCUCAGUGGUAGAAUGUAUGCUUAGCAUGCACAAGGUCCUGGGUUCAAUCCCUAGUACCUCCA